ACCUGAUCCAGCACACCAUUCCACUUCUGUGUGGUCAGGAAGAGAUAUUUGGAUGGAUGUGGUCAGUGGGCAUCUGGACUGAAAUAGCUGAAGUCGAGGAGCUUGGAGAAUGGAAAUAGGACAAAAGGUCGGGAAACAGACUUUAUGGACUGUGGGUAUAUUUUAGACUCUGGAAACCUGUGGAGCUGGAAAUGCUAUCCAGAGCGAUUUGCAUGAGCAUGUGACCCCACCAGCACAGUCUCAGAGCCUAGAAGACUUUGAUCAUUAAUCCCACUUUUCCACUUUGAAAAUCACCAAAAUUCAAACAGGUACACAGUCAUGCAAAUGUACAGUACUUCCGAAGGAGGACCACCAUCACCUGGCAUUCCUGCCUGUCUCCGGGUUUGCUGUUGUGCAAUCUGAAUGAAGCAACUGAGGGCGAUUUCCAGGACUGGUGAUUAUGAUGAUUAGUUACCAGUGCGCUCUGUGGGCUGCUUCUGAGAGAAGACAGAUUUCCAGCCUGGCCUUGACAUGGGUUGGCCCCUCCCCGACUCUAAUUACCCUUUCCAGUAACAGUAAUGGUACUGAGAACUGAAGCCUUCUUUUGCCUCUUCCUUUAUAAUGAAUUACUUCGAAUUCCACCAGAUCUAUCCUUUGCAAAGCUAAUUUACUUUAAGGGGUUGCUGGAUGCCCAAAAAGAGAACCAUAGCUUAGAGACAUAGGUUUGGGGCAAGAUUCUGGUAUGAAGCCCAAGGAGUGGGAGGAGUGUGUGUCCAUCUCAAGUCCCAGGAGGCAGAGGGCUUUGUUUUGUGCCUAGAUUUGUGCCAUUCAACCACAGGUGGUCUCCAUACCUCUAGCUCCCUCUGGGAGCUCGACCUGGCUCCCUUUCAAAGCCAGGUGAAAAUGUGUUGUGAGCUGUUCCUUAAUGGUUUGAGGUUUGGCACAGCGAUGCUUUUACUUUUCAACAAGUGUUAAAAGUGGAAAAGUGGAA